GGAUUAGUGGCGAACGGGUGAGUAACACGUGAGUAACCUGCCCCCCACUUUGGGAUAACUCCGAGAAAUCGGGGCUAAUACUGGAUAUGACCUUGGCCCGCAUGGGUUGUGGUGGAAAGUUUUUCGGUGGGGGAUGGGCUCGCGGCCUAUCAGUUUGUUGGUGAGGUAGUGGCUCACCAAGGCGAUGACGGGUAGCCGGCCUGAGAGGGCGACCGGCCACACUGGGACUGAGACACGGCCCAG
rnacentral:rRNA from 1 species